GGUGACAGUGCUGGCCUAGGAGGGAAAGAAGUCUCUGGAGUUCCUGGAUCUGUAAGUUGAAGCAGAGCCCAUAGACCAGCCAGGUCCAUAGAAACGUGCAUGUCAGAUUCCUCACCUGAAAAUGGAAGGAUUAGAUUAAAUCAGCGGCUCUUAUUUUCUGACUGUGACUCAACAUUAAGAAAUACAUUUGAAGACUAAGAAACAGAGAAGACCCAAAUAAAAUCAGAGAUGAAAAAGGAGACAUUACAACUGACACUGCAUAAAUUCAAAGGAACAUUAGAGACUACUAUGAGCAACUGUAUGCCAAUAAAUUGGAAAACCUAGAAGAAGUGGAUAAAUUCCUAGACAUACACAUCCUAC
rnacentral:lncRNA from 10 species